CUACCCUUUCUAUUUACGGUGCGCUUUUCACUAUCGGUCAUGGAGCACAUCAUGAUUUCAGACUGGGCGAAUCAUCCACUGCCUCACCUGUUUGUAGACUGAAGCAGGCUAAGCGAGGUGCACUCCUUGAAGUCUUUGAAUCCAAAGUUGUCCGUGUCAAUGGGAAAUCUUUGGACAAGGCUGCCAAGGUUACCUUGAAUGCAGGAGAUGAAAUUAUCUUCCGUUCACCAGUGAGGCAUGCUUAUAUAUUUGAGCAACUUCAUCAGGAGAAAUCAAGCACUCCAGCAUUAUCCUCCACUUGCAGUAGUAUCCAGCAGGGGCAGUGCUCAUAUUUCAAAGAUAUUCAAGGUCAUUUAUCAUCUAAAGGGC